UACGUAGGGCGCAAGCGUUGUCCGGAAUUAUUGGGCGUAAAGAGCUCGUAGGCGGUUUGUCGCGUCUGGUGUGAAAACUCGAGGCUCAACCUCGAGCUUGCAUCGGGUACGGGCAGACUAGAGUGCGGUAGGGGAGACUGGAAUUCCUGGUGUAGCGGUGGAAUGCGCAGAUAUCAGGAGGAACACCGGUGGCGAAGGCGGAUCUCUGGGCCGAUACUGACGCUGAGGAGCGAAAGCCAGGGGAGCAAACAGG
rnacentral:rRNA from 1 species